rnacentral:rRNA from 1 species
AGCAAGGCCCGGGUAAGACCGUUUCCAGCCGCCGCGGUAAUACCGGCCGCUCAAGUGGUAACCUAUAUUAUUGAGUCUAAAGGAUCCGUAGCCGGCUUUUCAAGUCCCCCGAAAAAUCCAGGGGUUUUACCCCCGGUAUUUCGUGGGAUCUUACAUCAUUGGCCACGUGAGAGGUAGGAGUUUCUCGGGGGGUAGGGGUGAAAUCCCUUAAUCCUCCAUUACCCACCAACAACAAGGCGUCCUGCCAGAACAUCUCUGACGGUGAGGGACGAAAAUUAGGGGCACGAACCGGAUUAGAUACCCGGGUAGUCCCAGUUGUAAACGAUGCCAAUUUAGGUGUCUUUACAGUCGUGAUUCCCGUCGGUGCCGUAGGGAAGCCGAGAAGCGGGCCACUUGGGAAGUACCCUCCCAAGGUUGAAACUUAAAGGAAUUGGCGGGGGAGCUCCACAACGGG